GCAUAUCAAUAAGCGGAGGAAAGCCC
rnacentral:rRNA from 1 species